UACGUAGGGGGCGAGCGUUGUCCGGAUUUAUUGGGCGUAAAGAGCGUGUAGGCGGCCAGGUAGGUCCGUUGUGAAAACUCGAGGCUCAACCUCGAGACGCCGGUGGAAACCAUCAAACUAGAGUCCGGAAGAGGAGAGUGGAAUUCCUGGUGUAGCGGUGAAAUGCGCAGAUAUCAGGAAGAACACCCGUGGCUAAGGCGGCUCUCUAGUACGGUACUGACGCUGAGACGCGAAAGCGUGGGGAGCGAACAGG
rnacentral:rRNA from 1 species